GGUUAAGUUACUAAGGGCACACGGUGGAUGCCUUGGCGCUAGGAGCCGAUGAAGGACGCAGCGAACUGCGAUAAGCCUCGGGGAGCGGUAAGCACGCGUUGAUCCGGGGAUCUCCGAAUGGGGGAACCCACCAUCCGUAAUGGGAUGGUAUCCGUCACUGAAUCCAUAGGUGGCGUGAAGGCACACCCGGUGAACUGAAACAUCUAAGUAGCCGGAGGAAGAGAAAACAACAGUGAUUCCGUCAGUAGUGGCGAGCGAACGCGGAAGAGCCUAAACCGCAGGGUUUACUCUGCGGGGUCGUGGGACGUCUCACGUGGAGUUACAAAAGACACCUGUAGGUGAACGGUCUGGGAAGGCCGACCAGAGAGCGUGACAGUCGCGUAACCCAAACAGGUGUCUCUCCGAGACGGAUCCCGAGUAGCACGGGACACGUGAAAUCCCGUGUGAAUCUGGCAGGACCAUCUGCUAAGGCUAAAUACUCCCUAGCGACCGAUAGCGAACCAGUACCGUGAGGGAAAGGUGAAAAGCACCCCGGGAGGGGAGUGAAAUAGUACCUGAAACCGUGUGCUUACAAAUAGUCGGAGCCCGUUACAUGGGUGACGGCGUGCCUUUUGUAGAAUGAACCGGCGAGUUACGGUAGCGUGCGAGGUUAAGUCGAAGAGACGGAGCCGCAGCGAAAGCGAGUCUGAACAGGGCGAAAGUACGUUGCCGUAGACCCGAAACCGUGUGAUCUAGCCAUGUCCAGGGUGAAGGUAGGGUAACACCUACUGGAGGCCCGAACCCACGCACGUUGAAAAGUGCGGGGAUGAGGUGUGGCUAGCGGUGAAAUUCCAAUCGAACUCGGAGAUAGCUGGUUCUCCCCGAAAUAGCUUUAGGGCUAGCCUCGGA
rnacentral:rRNA from 1 species